CUCCCUCUAAUCACGUGAUUCCCUGUUUAUAAAACCGCUGGUCACUUCACCUGUCACACUUUCCACGCUGAUCGGAGCGGCGUCGUAAGCGUCGAUGCUUGGUUCAGUUCACGCGUCACGACCAUGCAGUUAUAGCUCGCUGUAGCUACUUGUAGCUGUGACAUCGACCGACGGUGACCACAACAAGCUAAGGACAGGUUUCCAAGAUAAUGCACCCUUUGCCAGCUGCAUGUUGAAACAUUCAAGGUAGAGUAAAAUAUGCAUUGGUGUCUUCCAGGCUUGACUAACAAAUAACUUCACUUUAAAACCUGUAAACGUUUACUGUCCCCCUUACCAUCUAGCAAAAUUUGGAAUUAUUAUGUGGCAAGGGAGUCUAAAAGUCAAUCCAAGCAUUCUGAUUGGUUCUUUUUCGGUCAGGAUUUUGCCAUACACAUCGUUCCUCAUCGUUCCUCCGUGCAUUUAUUUGUUUUUGAGAGCCGGCAAAUUCGAAUUCAAGUGCCAUAUAUGAUACUACUCACUAGCCUAGCUUGCCGUACUGACCUCGCUGUGCUAGGUCCACACUGCCACAACCUUGGGCCAAUAUUUUCCAGUAAGGCCUUUGUGCUCUUUUAGUAAAGGGUUAUUAAUAUUAAUAAUUUGUGAGGGUAAAAAUAUUUCCAUUACACUGCUGGUAGUCUGUUUUUCUCUCGGGGUUAUGAGGCAAGACACUUUAGCCUAAACGGGAAUGGCAUGAGACAUGAGUGCAAACUCUUUAAUCAGCUGUUCGCGCUGGCUCAAUUGUUGACCAUGGAUAACCACAACAUUGAAAGACUGGCUUUCCUUUCUGCCAGCUCCCCUGCCUGUUGGAUGUGAUCUACAACACUUUGUGCUGGUCCGAGGUGUAUGACGUAUUUUACAUCUGGGUUGUUUACACCCAUGCUGAGGGCAGAUGAUACAAUUACAACACGGACCACACCGUCGUUACCCUUGAAGGAAUUCAAAACCCGACAUUUAUACUUUGCCCAGGUUAGAGAGUGGUAAAGUCCUACAGCUCUUUUUGGAAGUAGUUUAUCUUUUCCAGUGGGAUAACCAUAGUCCCCACAACUGGUCAGCAAGUAUCCAAGAACAGAUGCCAUAUCUUGCAUUGUAUUGCAAAAAAUGAUUGUUUUUGGAGUUUCCUUGCGUUUUUCUUGCUCGCUAGGAACUAACCAACUUAAAUUGGAGAGAUAUUUUUGUUGUUUCACUUUGAGGACUCUCAAACUAUUAUUUGUUCUGUUUGGGCUCGGAAAGAUUGUUAAUGUUUCUUUCUUUAUAGAAAGAGAUAUCUUAACAUGGUCGUUCAUUUUUGUGCUUGCAGUGCCCGUCAAGGCCGGAACAGGUGUAUCUUUCUCAACAUUAAAUCUCUUGUAAUUAAUCCCCAUGCUAUCCUGCUAUGCAAGUAGCCCCUGUAAAACUCCACUCUAACCCUAAGGAGGAGGUACAGUGGCCAAAUGGUUGGUGCAAAAGACCCCUUUGGGGAUAAUUACAUUGUGUUCUUGGGCAAGAUGCUCUACUCUCACAGUGCCUCUCCUUUCCCAUAUGUAUAAAUGGGUACUGGUUAGGGGAGAGGGGUGCAGCAGAAUUAUGACUUGAUAUGAGGUGGGCAAUUCAAUAAGUGUGCUUUCAAUAUGUUUUUUUACACGCAAUCCCAAUGCAUGGGAACCGUCUAAAAUUCGUCUUUGGAAGUUGAGGAUCUGGCAAUUAUUGUGUUAUGCCUCAAAGUCAUGGCUUCCUUACACAUGAAAAACCUCAUAUUAUACUAGCCAUGCACUUGUCUAGCCCCCAUAUUAGCAGGAAUUAUCUCUUCAUGACAUAUUUUGUUGACAAUACUUAGAUAGGGGUGACAAUCUGAUGCAUAAUCCCUCUUUCUCUACCGCAAUUGAGGUUUAUUUCUAUUUACUUUCAGUGCUUUUGAAAAAAGAGGGUUCCAUAAAACAGCAUCACAAGAUAGUGUACAUAUGGCUUUGGAGAAGCAAAACAAAACCGUUAAAAUGUACGAUAGAAGUAGCAAAUAGUGGUACACUGCAUCAUAGAUAAAGAAAAAGAGAUUAGAAUGGGAAAUGGUAUACAUGGUGUAAAUUCAUUCCAUGUAGAAAACCGUAUUUAGACUUCAUUAGUACAGCUAUUGUAGGUUCUCAAAAACCUUCCAAGGAUAUGGCACGAGAAUUACAACAACUGUUUCAAAGAUCACUAUUCCUCGCUUGAAUUUCACAAGUAAGGGUGAAGGGGUCAAUUAAACUUCACUAAUAAAUGAAGCGAGAGAUCAAUUGUAUCAACUGGAAAACUAGAACAUAAAUUGUCCAAGAAUUGAUAUGUAUCUUGAUUGUUUUUGUUAAUUGAUUCAAAAGAAACCUUUGUAUAGCUUAAUUGGUGGUAGUUAUCCAGUAACAAAAAGCAUUGACUCUACAUUCAAUUUAAACAAGUUAUCAAAAAACAAGAAACAUUGAAACCUAUUUACAUUGCGAAGCGUAUGCUACUCCCUAACGGAGUAGCACCCGACUUACAACAAAUUAUUUACAAAACAAUGCUGGCAAAAACGCAACGUAUUUACAAUAAUGAUCUAUCGAACUGGCUUAUUAUUGUAACAACUUCUCUCUGCUCUCGCUCUCUCCUUUCUGAUACAAACUCUCUAGUUAUCUAAUAAUGAUAAAUCAAAA